rnacentral:rRNA from 1 species
UACGUAGGGUGCAAGCGUUGUCCGGAAUUAUUGGGCGUAAAGAGCUCGUAGGCGGUCUGUCGCGUCGGCUGUGAAAACUUGGGGCUCAACCCCAAGCCUGCAGUCGAUACGGGCAGACUUGAGUACUGCAGGGGAGACUGGAAUUCCUGGUGUAGCGGUGGAAUGCGCAGAUAUCAGGAGGAACACCGGUGGCGAAGGCGGGUCUCUGGGGCAGUAACUGACGCUGAGGAGCGAAAGCGUGGGGAGCGAACAGG